UUGAAAGGGAAACGAUUGAAGUCAGUCGUACCGGUGGGUAAUCAGCCUUUCGGCGUGAUUAUGUGGAACGUGAGGAGUUAAACGCCCUCAUGCCUGCAUAUUCGUGUUCCUUGGGUGUACUUACCCGCAUGGUAGGUUAACAUCAAUUUCGAACGUCAUAAAAUGGUUGGAGGAAUGUGGCUUCGAUCUCGUAUUGAAGUGUUAUAGCCUUCGGCAGAUGUGAUGAUCGGGAUUGAGGAUUGCAACGGAUACCCUUCGGGGCUACCCGUCUGAUCUCUGAAAGUUACUCUGGUACCGAAAGCUCGCUUACGGUUAUCAAAGUUGACGUUCAACAGGUUAGAACGGGAUAAAUUCGUUAAGGAUGUUGACGUA
rnacentral:rRNA from 1 species